UACCAUGCGGAUUAGAAAGUCCUGGAGCAGACACAGGAGCAGGGAUGGGCUUGCAGCAGCACAGGCUGCUGAAAUACCAAACUCUAACUGAAAGCAGAGAAUGAAACAGAAGUGAGGCACACAAAUGGCCUUAUUAGCUUUAACAGUCUCACUCACUUGCUUAAAGGUAAGUGGUUGCUUUGUCGCUAUGAUGCUUGAGGACCUCGAAGGGGAUGGCAGGCAGCUGUGGUGCCUUCUUCCUAGAAUCAACCAUAGAAUAGGUUGGAAACCAUAGGUUGGAAAAGACCUCUAAGAACAUCUAGUCCACUGUGCCCUCUGACCAUGAACCUCAGUGCCACAUCUCCAUGGUUCUUAACACCUCCUAAUAUCAGGCUCUGGAGAGCAAGACAUUGUUUCUCAGAAGGGCUACCUGGUACAGCAGGAAGCAGGAUCCCCCCACUCCUCCCCCCUGAAAAGUUGGCCUUUAUGAUCUUGAAAGUCUUUUCCAAUCUAGAUGAUUCUAUAAUUCUUGGAUUCUGUGUUAGCAAUUUGUAAAGUCUUGCUUGAGGUUUCCCUUACAGUUCCUGCCUGAACAUAACACGCUAUAUGGACUCCUCAUGAGCCUGUAGGCACUCUGUGUGGUACCACACAUAAGAACUGCUGCCUGAGCCCUGGGUUUUCUUUCUGGGAAGCAUGGACAGGUGAAGGAUGGGCAAUGGGAAUAGCAGCAUCCUCAAGUUGCAAAACUCAGUGUGAUCCCUGAACGAUGUGUGACCAUUCAGUUCUCCAAGUCUGGGGUUGGUUUUUACCCUGGGGUUGGAAGGAUGUAUAUACCAAAGAAGGGAUUUUCUAACCUGGAACAUUUUGGGGGUUUGGUCUUCAGGGACACACAGAAACCCCCAGCCAUCACCAGGGUGGAAAAAGGCACAGUGAUCCAUUCCUGACACAUUCGUGUUAUUGUCACAUCCAGAUGAGAUAAAGAAACACCGAGGAGUAUGAAAGCACUUCUGUUUUCCCUAAAAAAAAAAAACAACAAAAUGGCAAAGGGGGCCCAGCUUCUUCCUUCUGCCAAGAGCAGCUGAAGAAAGAGUUAUCACCCAGGGGUGAAGAAACCACCAAAGAGUGUUUCCAUUUCCCUCUCUCCUUAGAUGGAAGAUCAUAGCAUUCUCUAGAAAGUCCUGGAGCAACACAUGCCUCAUCCAAAAUCAACCAUCCUGAAUGGGAGCCUGGGGUCAGCGUCCAAGUCCAACAUUCAAUGUUGCAGUCCUUAAAUAAACGGAAUAUGAAAUGAAAUGAAUACAGGGAGCAGACAGGCAGCGUUCACUGUUUCCAGCACAUUUCCAGGGAGCAGUGUUCCCUCCCAGAAACUGAGGAGGAAUCCAAAGAAGACAGCAGGAAGAUGUUAAUAAAGUUUUUUUUGUG
rnacentral:lncRNA from 1 species